rnacentral:lncRNA from 1 species
AUAUAUAUAUAUAUAUAUAUAUAUAUAUAUAUAUAUAUAUAUAUAUACAUAUAUAUACAUAUAUAUAUAUAUAUAUAUAGUGAGGAAAUAAAUAUUUAACAACCAGGGCAAAAUGUAAAUUUUCCAUCAUUAUUGAAUUUAUUGAAGAAAUAAGGAGAUAUCAGGAAUAACCAGCAGACACAGGACAGUAUAUUCAGGGAGACACAUGGGAACCCAGGAGCAGUUACAUGCUGUUAUAUCAGGAAUAACCAGCAGACACAGGACAGUAUAUUCAGGGAGACACAUGGGAACACAGGAGCAGUUACAUGCUUUUAGUGGUUUUGGUCCGACUGUAGUCGGCCUUCCACAGUUGAUUACAGCUCCUUCAAUAUCAGUGUGUUGAAUUAGAAAGACAACCCUCCAUUCUGAUAAAACCACAAAUUAUACAGAGGGAAAAACCCCCGGACGUUUAACAAUUCUCCCGAUUCAUAAAACGUCUCAAUUCUGACACAACCAGCUAAAAAGAAAACAGUUAAUUGUAAUUUAUUAAAAGUGCCGUUAGCUAA